rnacentral:rRNA from 1 species
UCGAGAAUCAUUCGCAAUGGGGGAAACCCUGACGAUGCGACGCCGCGUGGGCGAUGAAGACCUUUGGUUGUAAAGCCCUGUCAUGCGGGAAGAAGGGAGUAGGGGCUAAUACCCCCCACUUCUGACGGUACCGCAAGAGGAAGCUCCGGCCAACUCCGUGCCAGCAGCCGCGGUAAUACGGGGGGAGCGAGCGUUGUUCGGAACUACUGGGCGUAAAGGGCGUGUAGGCGGCUCGGUAAGUCGGACGUGAAAUGCACCGGCUCAACCGGUGAAACGCGUUUGAAACUGCCUUGCUUGAGUACGGGAGAGGAGAGCGGAAUUCUCGGUGUAGCGGUGAAAUGCGUAGAUAUCGAGAAGAACACCAGUGGCGAAGGCGGCUCUCUGGUCCGAUACUGACGCUGAGGCGCGAAGGCUAGGGGAGCAAACAGGAUUAGAUACCCUGGUAGUCCUAGCCGUAAACGAUGGGCGCUGGGUGUAGGAGGUAUCGACCCCUCCUGUGCCGAAGCUAACGCAUUAAGUGCCCCGCCUGGGGAGUACGAUCGCAAGGUUG